rnacentral:rRNA from 1 species
UACGUAGGGGGGCAAGCGUUGUCCGGAUUUAUUGGGCGUAAAGAGCGUGUAGGCGGCUUCACAGGUCCGCUGUGAAAAACUCGAGGCUCAACCUCGAGCUGUCGGUGGAAACCGUGUGGCUAGAGUCCGGAAGAGGAGAGUGGAAUUCCCGGUGUAGCGGUGAAAUGCGCAGAUAUCGGGGAAGAACACCCCGUGGCGAAGGCGGCUCUCUGGGGACGGUA